rnacentral:lncRNA from 1 species
AUCUUAGAUUUGAAUGCCUUAGGCUUCUAUUUGAAAUCCUUCUGGAUUUUUUAGUAAUCUGGCUUUAGAACCACAAACUAAAAAAUUAUAGCAAACGUAGUUUAAUCUCUUUACGUAUUUAAACCAACUAAAGUAUAUGACCACCACCUAGGCAUGCCCAUAUUGUUAUGAUAACAUAAGCUUCACCUGAGAAAAAGAAAACUUCCAAGGCAUGUUUGAUUUCUUUUUUUUUUUUUUUUCCCACAAAUGUGUAUCUCUUUCUUUUAUUUUCAGUAAGGUGGGAAAAUGACUUUGGAAAGGAAGAAAAAAAACAACUUUGAGUAUAUUAUCAAAGUGGAACUUAAGGGUUUAGCAAUGACAUCCCCGUUAGGCCUACAAAAGAGAAUGAGUAAAGUCAUGUUCCUUGUGACAUUAACCAUUAGUAAUCAUCAAAACCCUGUGAAAAAAUGAUUUCAAGAUCAAAGCAAAACAUAGCCACUUCAAAGACAGAUAGCUAGCUCAGUGCUGAAAAAGCAGGGUCUUCAGACUGUCACCCCCAUUAGAAGGUUUUAAGAACUCAGGUAAACAAGACCUGGAUCCGAAAUGGACCUAAGAACAUCUACAGCAAUCUACAAAGUUUGUAUUUCUCAUAAUUUUGCUGUUACUUUCAAGAUCAAUUUCUGCUCCAUUCCACAGAUGAAAUCUAUGUGUGCUUUGUGAGAUCAAUCAGCUAUCUUUAAUUCUCCAAAGAGAAUGAUAAGUUGACCUUAUAAUAUACCAUUUAAAUUUGCAUAUUUUGAGAGGAAUAGAUGGCAUUAUAAAUAAUUACAUCUCAAAAAUAGUGUUAAUUUAGUAGGGCCUAGACAAAUGAGGAAGUACCCUACUGUGGCAUUCUUCCAGAAAAUAGAUUUGUUUAAGAUGAAAUGAUGUUCCCUUGACCCUAGAUUAACAGUUAUUUGCUUUUUAGGGCUGAACCCACAGUCUGUGGAGGUUCCCAGGCUAGGGGUCGAAUCAGAGCUACAGCUGCCAGCCUACACCACAGCCACAGCAACUCAGGAUCUGAGCCACAUCUGCAACCUACACCAUGGUUCACAACGCCAGACCCUUAAACCCACUGUGCAAGGCCAGGGAUUGAACCCACAACCUCAUGGUUCCCAGUGGGAUUCUUUUCUGCUGUGCACGACGGGAAGUCCUAACAGUCAUUUCUUUUGAAAUCAUAACCAUUUCUAAGCUGAUUCACAUUAUGUGUCCCCUAUUAACCAAUCCUAAUAAUCACAAAUAUAAAUUACCUAUUGUCUUUAAUUUGUGAAAAUACUUCAUACCAACCUCAACUCAUGCUAUACUCAGAUAUGACAACAAAAAUGAUAUCCCAUUGUUAAUAGUAGUAUCAUAAAUAAUAAUUUUUGAGACUUGCUUAAGGAGAUAAUUUUAUUUGUCAAAUCUUUAAAUCUAACCAGCAUCAACUCCAAAAAACAAUGCUCAAUGAAGAACAAUAAACAACUAUAAAAAUGGCUCUAAUUGUAGAUACUUUUAUCAUAAAGUUGUUUCAACAACAUCAUAGAAAUGCUAAAAAAACAUAACAGCCUUCAAUCUUACCAUUUUAUACACAGCUAUUGUAUAUCUUUGUUUUCUCUUUCUGUCUUUAUAUUUCUUUAUGUUUGUGGGUGAGUAUCCAUUUUUCAAAGUAACAUUCUAACCAUUUUUUCUAGAGUAGCAUAUAUAUAAUUGCAGUCACAAUCUAUAUCAGAAUUUUACUCAGUUUGAAUUUUUUUCUAUGUUGUCAUACAAUCUAUGUAAUUGUAGUUUGAGAGGAUAAAUUAAGUUGGGACUGUGCCCUACUUUAAUUCAUCACACUCUAUCUUUGGAUAUUUAGAGUGACUCUUGUUCUUCACAGUUAACACUGAAAUAAAGAUUUAAAUGCAUAGAGUUUUUUUUAAUCUCUUGAAAUUUAAAAAUAUAUAUCCAAAUGCAUGACUGCUGGGCCAAAUAGCAAAAAUGAAAAAGAAGAGGAGUUCCCUGGUGGCUCACUGAGUUAAGAAUCCCAUGUUUUCACUGCUAUGGCUCAGGUAACUGCUUUGGCACAGGCUCAAUCCCUCCUGGCCUGAGAAUUUCUGUGUGCAACAGGCGCAGCCAAAAGAAAGAAAGAAAGAAAAGAAGAAAAAGAGUAUAAGGACUGAGGGUAUUCAAGAAAAUUUAAUUGUAUCCUAAGUGACUUAUUAGAAAUGAACCUUAUUUCUAUAUAUCUAACACAAUCAGUGUGAUUCAAAAAGAUGUGGUUUAUUUGUAAUGUUUGAAUAAUGAAAGAUCAUCCAAUCUAGUUCCUGAGAACUAGAGUUCAGCUCUCUUUUGUUAUUAACACAAGUACCUGACUUAGGGAUCCUAUAGCUUUAAGGUCUGGUUUGGUUCACUACGAAUGAAUGGAAACACAGAAACAUUAUAGGCAAAACGGAGAAGUUAGCAAAUGCAAAGUGACAGUAUUACUUAAGCAUAAAAUACGUAGUUCCACAGUUCAGCAUUAGGAAAGACAAACUAUUGAUUUCAACUAAAACAUAUCAUUUUAAAUUCAAUGAGACAGUAAACUAGCUCCCUCUCUUUACGCAAAGAUUUUUAUAUUUUAAUAUUUGUAUAUAAGAUGUUGCCAUGAUUUUAAUGCAAAUAGUGGUUUAUUAUUCUGUCCCUGAUCCAGAUCCAGAACUGUCCUGAUCCAGAAGUAACUGUAUUUAAACCUGUUUCUUAAAACCCAGUGUUGCCUCCUCAUAACCCCAGUGCUUUCUAUCUGUCUGUUUAUCAUCUUAUUACCUACAUAGUAUACCUAUAUUUUUUAUACCACAGAGGGCUAUAAAAAGGAAGAAGGAAAUCUUAUUCUUUGACAGUUCAUAACAGGAGGAUCCUGCCUAUAAAUAUUCCCACAAAAUGUUGAAAUAAUCCUUUAGAACAAAAACAAAGUAAAAAUCAGACUUACAUUUGUUUCUAACUAAAAUGUUUUGUGGCUACCUGAUGUUAUGCAUGUACUUUAUGUAUUUUUCACAAAACCACAUUUUGUAACUAGUAUUUCUAUUCACAACAAGAGGUAGAAAUACAUCAAGAAGAAUUUAUACACCAAAAGGAAUCGGAGAUGUGGAAAAUGGAAGAGAUAUAUUUGAGUUCAAGAAGAGGAAAUUUGAACAGCAAUGUUCAAGCUAUUCUCCUCAGAAGAUUGUUGAAAGCAUUUAAAAGUUAAAACAAAACAAAACAAAAACACACCCAAAAAAACAGUUCCUAGAUACUGAAAGAUGAAAGAAAGCAGUCAAUUGCAUUUAUAUAGGAACAUAAUCAAGAAAGCCAAGCAUACACUCAAGAUAUAUGGUCAUCGAGACCUAUCUCAAUGACUAUUUCCAGACUCUUCUUCAAUUCAAAUCCUGUAUCCUUUUCUCCAGUGAACUGGCCACGUUUCCCAGAAAAAUGACCUCAGUUCUAUACCUUACCUUUGAAUAUCUCCAUCCAAUCCCUCUUCAUUUAUGAAUACUUUCAUAAUUCAAGAAAGAAGCUCCCUCCAAUGUAAUUAUGUAUUCUAUUAUACACUUAAUCCCCACAAAACUCUCACCCUCCUCUCACCCACAAGCCAACAUUCUAUGAUUCACAUCUUUGUAGCAGUAGCACAAAGCUACACUUUCUGUGGAGUAGGGGCAAGACUCUUUGAGGCAAUCCUAUUAGCUAAUAUUACUAAUAAGGUUAAAUUACAUUAAAUAACUAACAGUUUAAGAAAAAUGUAAUAAGCUUGAUAAGAUAAAUGCUUUAACUAUAAAUUGAGGUCCUAAAAUUUCUGAGAGAAUGAGUUCCAUUCAAUUCACCAAAUGUAUUUUAAGUAACUAUUAUAUUCACGGUUUUUUGCUAGACCUAAUAUUACAAAGCCGUUUGCAUGUAUUCUAAAAUAUCCCACUUUAAUGUAAGACAUUUUAUGUUAAAUGUAAUGAUAUUUCUUGUAUUUAAAUUAUACGUUUUAAAUAUGGUAACUCCAGAUGAUGGAGAAAUUCCUUGACUAAGGGGAUUAAGUGCAUAUUUACCGAGGAGAUAUUACCAUGUUGAACCUAACACUAAUCAGUAAAUAAAUCUGUGAUGCAUGAAGGAAGGGAGGAAAAAAGAGUAAUUGGAGAGACAAAUACUAUCUAGGAUGCAGAUCCUUCUUCCACAAAAUUACCCCUAAGGCAAUCACAUUUUAGACACAAUAUUGUGUAUUUACUUGGAGGACUUGUGUAUUUAUCACACUAAAACAUUGUUAUCCAAAAAAAAUUUUCUAUUUAAAUAUCUCAUUUUAAAACAAUUACUGUGUUCUCAGUUAUACUUUUCAUAUGCUCGGACCAUCUGUUUCCUAUUGGAAUAGAAUUCCAAGUUUAGAACAGUAGUCAAAAGUGAUUGAAGUUUUAAAGUGUAUCUCCCAGGAAAACGUUUAAUAUGUAAAAGAUGUUUGUGUUAAAUAUUUAUACUCUAUUUAGUCAAGUCAAACACCCAAUCACAAUUAAUAACAAAACCUGUAAUUUUCAAUCAUAAUUUUUCUACCAUGUCAAUGUUUUCUUCCAUGUAGGUUUUAAUGGAAAAAUGAUGUUAUUGCAUUUAGUUUUAUAGAGAGGAAAGGGGAAAGAUGUUGACUUUUAAAGAGAAAAAUCCAAAGACAUUCCUUGUAUUUAUUGGUUUCUUUCUUGAUUAGAUAAUGUACGGUGUCUCCAGAUGUUUACUUUUAGAAUCAAUAACCCCAAACAUGGAGUCCCAGAUACAAAACACAAAGGGUCCUGUUUCCUCAAGUCUCCAGAAUACAGACAUAGGCACAGAGUUCUCAGGCCUUAUUUUUUUUUUCAUUUUUUAGAAGUUUUAUUGGGAUAUAGUUGAUUUACAAUGUUGUGAUAAUGUCUUUAUAACGAUGUGAUUCAGUUUUAUGCAUAUACACAUCCAUUCUCUUUCAGAUUUGUUUUCCACAUGGAUUAUCACAGAAUAUUGGAUAGAGAUCUCUGUGCUAUACAGCAGGCANGUUGGCCAGUCGUUCCAUAUACACCAGUGUGCCUAUGCCAAUCAGAAACUCCCAGUCCAUUCCACUCCCACCUGUCUCCUUUGGUAAACUUAAGGUUUUCAAAGUCUGUGAGUCUGUUUCUGUUAGGCAAUAAGUUCAUUUUUAUCCUUUUUUUUAGAUUCCACAAAAAGACAAACAUUAUGUGAUAUCACUUAUAUGCAACGUUACUUUUAUCCAUCACCAUUUCUCUAAAUACCCCUUCAGAAAUGGAGUCUUGUGCUGGGAGGCCCCUAAGUGGUUAACACCAAAGCCCUCUUCACAGCACAGGGGAUGAAUGUAAACCUUUUCUGGAUCAUUCCAACCUUCUUCCAGUGGUAAUAUGGUUUAAUUUGAGCCAAUGACCUUCAAAGAUAGAUCUCUUUGGUGAAUCCCUGAAUGAUUUAUUCACUCCUUUUAAACAAAACAAAGCCAAAAAAAAA